rnacentral:lncRNA from 1 species
CCGACCAUAAGAUAAACUGGAAGCAAAGAAGGAAACAUCCCUAAUACAUUCAAGCAUAUACUGAGAAUCCAUAAUAUUUAAGCCGUUUAUGAUCCACAAGACAAGAAAGCACAAAAAUUUCUCAGUGGUUAAGGAAAUGAUUUGGAAGUAGAGUAGUUGAAAUUAUAUGAUCCAACACACGAUGCUCAAGAAUCAAAUUUUUGGGCUCAAUAAUUAGAAGGAUUUUCAAAUAACAUAGUUUUUGCCUAAUCCAGUGACACUUUAAUGUACUUAGGCUACGAACUUCCAACAAAAACAUCAAAUCCUUGAAUUUUUGCAGAGAAGACCUUUUUAAACUGAUAAGCAUCAAGAAUGAUGCAAGUGCCCAGAACCAUAGAUUCCAAAUCAUCUGUAUCAUUUUCAAAAAUAUUUCCAUAAAAUAGCCUAACAACUUCUUCAUAAACAGUUACUAGCAAUAUCAAAAAGAGAUGACAACUUUUGAAAAUCAAACAUGGAGAGAACAUCAUAGUGAAUAUCCUUCAUGUGAGAGAGACUUAUAGUGCAUUUAUAGGUGAUAAACUUGCAUUUGUAAGAUUCAAACUUGGAUUUCUCUGCAGGUCCAUAAAAGUUCAACUUGUCUUUAGGCCCAAACUCGACUUUUUCAAUCUUUAUUGCAUACAAAGCUUUUGGUACUAAGAUCCAUGGGUUUUUUCAUCCUUCUCAGUAACUUGAUUUUCAUAGUAUCACUUGAUUCACCAUCAAUUUUGAGUGGGUUAGAAUCCAAAGACGAUUAAAGAAAGAUGAUUUUCUGAGUAACUAGGGUGUUUUGCAAUCGUUGGUUUUUGCGAGUUGCGGAUGGAGAGGUUUUUGGUGUAGCCGUUUUUUAUUUAGAAGGUGCUUUUUGGAAUGAGAAAGAAGAGGGGUUUUAGGAGAACUGUUGAGGCAAUGAAGGAGU